rfam:Tetrahymena thermophila SB210 genomic scaffold scf_8254716, whole genome shotgun sequence.
GUGGAUGUAGCUCAAUCGGAAGAGCGUAAGAUUGUGGCUCUUGAGGUAGAGGGAUCGAAACCCUCCAUCCACA